rnacentral:rRNA from 1 species
CGUGAAAUUGUUGAAAGGGAAGCGUUUAUGACCAGACUUGGGCUUGGUUAAUCAUCUGGGGUUCUCCCCAGUGCCCUUUUCCAGUCCAGGCCAGCAUCAGUUUUCCCCGGGGGAUAAAGGCGGCGGGAAUGUGGCUCUCUUCGGGGAGUGUUAUAGCCCACCGUGUAAUACCCUGGGGGGGACUGAGGUUCGCGCAUCUGCAAGGAUGCUGGCGUAAUGGUCAUCAACGACCCGUCUUGAAACACGG